rnacentral:rRNA from 1 species
AGAGUUUGAUCAUGGCUCAGGACGAACGCUGGCGGCGUGCUUAACACAUGCAAGUCGAACGGAAAGGCCCUUCGGGGUACUCGAGUGGCGAACGGGUGAGUAACACGUGGGUGAUCUGCCCUGCACUUUGGGAUAAGCCUGGGAAACUGGGUCUAAUACCGAAUAUGACCACGCUCUUCAUGGGGUGUGGUGGAAAGCUUUUGCGGUGUGGGAUGGGCCCGCGGCCUAUCAGCUUGUUGGUGGGGUAAUGGCCUACCAAGGCGACGACGGGUAGCCGGCCUGAGAGGGUGACCGGCCACACUGGGACUGAGAUACGGCCCAGACUCCUACGGGAGGCAGCAGUGGGGAAUAUUGCACAAUGGGCGCAAGCCUGAUGCAGCGACGCCGCGUGAGGGAUGACGGCCUUCGGGUUGUAAACCUCUUUCACCAGGGACGAAGCGCAAGUGACGGUACCUGGAGAAGAAGCACCGGCCAACUACGUGCCAGCAGCCGCGGUAAUACGUAGGGUGCGAGCGUUGUCCGGAAUUACUGGGCGUAAAGAGCUCGUAGGUGGUUUGUCGCGUUGUUCGUGAAAACUCACAGCUUAACUGUGGGCGUGCGGGCGAUACGGGCAGACUAGAGUACUGCAGGGGAGACUGGAAUUCCUGGUGUAGCGGUGGAAUGCGCAGAUAUCAGGAGGAACACCGGUGGCGAAGGCGGGUCUCUGGGCAGUAACUGACGCUGAGGAGCGAAAGCGUGGGGAGCGAACAGGAUUAGAUACCCCGGUAGUCC